AACAUACAGUCUGCUUGUUAUUUAACUAUCUUUGCAUAAAUUCUCUUAGUGGUGUGAGGCAAAUGUACAUCUCCAGGUAUGUGACUCGCAUGUAUGAGAGCUCCCGGAGUGGGACACAGUUCCAGACCAGUGCUCUUCACUCUGUUCCAUGACUCCUCUGUAUUACCUUAAGGUAGACAAUGUUUUGAGGAAAACAGGUUGAAUUAACAAGUAUAUGAUAGCACCUACUAUGUGCAUAGUCCUCUGUAGACACAAAAUGUGUCAAGAACUGUUCCCCAAAUAAUCUUCUAAAAGGGAAAGAAAUGAAAUGUGGAUAAAUUGUACAUAAAAACUUAACAAAACAAUGUAGUGAAGCGAUACAAAGUAAAUGCUCAAGUGCCUGGUGCAGAUGAAGUGAGGUGAGGUGAAGUCACUGGGAACCAAGAGCACUUCAGGGACUGUACAUUUAUCCACAUACAAUUCUGAGGUAGGUAUGGAUAAUCUAAUAUAAAGAAAUAGCUAAAGAUAUCGGAACAGGUGCAGAAACCAGACACUUUUAACUAUCUACCUGUCUCCAACCUCCUAAAAGUACAUCAGAGCUGAGCAAAAAUGAUGAGGAAGUAGCUAAUUCCUAGACACAUUAGUAAAGAGAUCUAAGGUAUUUUAACCAGACUUUGUGCAACUACAGAGGCAGAGCUCUUAUUUCAAGUGCAAAAAUAAGCCCCAAACUUGCAUUCAGAUCUUCUGCUUCUAAUGAUUAUUUUCUCAUUAUGCUACUGUGUCACUCUGAGCCAAUUAAGACUCCUCCGACAGCUAACUAACACAGUGACGGAAUAAAUACAGAGAUUUCAUGCUUUCUCCUACUACAGUAGAGACUUUGAUGAUCCACAGAUGUUUCUAAGAGACAUCUACAGAAAAUACUUGUGAGUCUGAGUGCCAAGAGAAAAGGCUGAGAAGAUUUCUUUCCAAUGAUUGAGGCAAGAAGAAAAUGAACGAGAAAGGUCCAACUGAGAGACUAGUGUUGUUGUUCUGAGUGCUACAAAUCUUUGGUAUGGUCUAAGCAGAAUUAUUCUCUGUCCAUGCAGGGUAAAUAUGUAAGGGUACCAUUUAGAAGGGGAAUGGAAAAAUGGAGAAUGAGGCUCCACAUCUGUGAUCAAGCAAAGCUGACGGACCAACGUGGCUCUCUGCAGUGAGAGCAAAGUGCUACUCCAGUAUCUGAGGACAGGAAUGGAGCAGCCCGUGAGAUAACAGCAGGGAGGAAGGCUUCACUGAGGCCCAUACUCUUCCACAGGCAAGAGUGAUAAUCCCAGCAGCUGUGCAAGUCAAAGCCCUCUCUUUCUUUCUCACAUGCAUCCAAGCCCUUCCAGUCCACACAUAAAACUUAAUGUGGAGGUAAGGGGAGCAGGUGUUACACAGGGACAUCUGUUAAGAAGGAGGUUCAAGGCAUUGCUUUCCUAAACUCUGUAUCACAGUUGUGAGAUUAAACAACUCAUUACACAGCUCUUACUGUAAUUUAGAUAGGAAGAAAUAACAUUACUGUACAACCAUAUGAAGCAUAUGGGCUCAUAAAAAUGCCCUGCCAACCCCAAGAACAACAUUUGUUUAUCUAAAAGAUGUAGCAUUUUAUUGAUGUCACUAUGCUUAAGGCAAUGUGCUCAGUUCUGAGUCUUUUUGUGUUAGUGAAGAUAGCAUCAGAGGACCACUGAGGCCAGGUUCAACUCUCUAUACUACCUCCAAACAUUUCAGUACUUCAUGCUUGUAAGUAUUCAGAAGUCACUAUGGCUCUUUUUUU